rnacentral:rRNA from 1 species
CAUAUAAUUAAGCGGAGGAAAAGAAACUAACCAGGAUUCCCCUAGUAGCGGCGAGCGAAGCGGGAACAGCCCAAACUGAAAAGCCGACUUGUUCGGCCGUGUAAGUGGUCAUUCUGGAGACGUCAGUUCAGGAAAGUGUGCAUGAAAGUGCCCGCCGUGGAGGGUUAAAGCCCCGUCCAUCCUGGACAGGACGUUCUCGUACAGGGAUGUACCGAAAGAGUCGUGUAGCUUGGGAAUGCUGCACUAAGAUAGGUGAUAGAUUUCAUCUAAGGCUAAAUACUGGUAGGAGACCGAUAGCAAACAAGUACCGUGAGGGAAAGUUGCAAAGCACUUUGAAAAGAGGGUGAAAAGAACCUGAAACCGUUACGUGGAGAGCGCAUCGCAGCAGAGUGAAAGGGAGGGCGUUUUGUUCAGCUUAGGUGUUAAAGCCUAGGUGUACUCGAAGCGUUUUUUCGCCAGUCGUGAGCUCCUGGUGGUCGAUUCAUCGAUUGCUGGGGGUGGAGGGCUCCCCCUUUUUAUUAAGGGGUCUGAGGACGAAUCUGGAUAAUGCUGCGAAUCGACCCGUCUUGAAACACGGACCAAGAAGUCUAGCGUAUGUGCGAGUCAAAGGGUGGUGAAACCUGAGGGCGCAGUGAAAGCAAUUACAUUUAAAAACGUUUUUAGCAGUUUGUGGCGGCAUACGUUCGUUGAACGUAGGUCCGACCUAGAGCACAUAUGGUAGGACCCGAAAGAUGGUGAACUAUGCUUGAGUAGGGUGAAGCCAGGAGAAAUUCUGGUGGAAGCUCGUAGCGGUGCUGACGUGCAAAUCGCUCGUCUAACUUGAGUAUAGGGGCGAAAGACUAAUCGAACCAUCUGGUAGCUGGUUUCCUCCGAAGUUUCUCUCAGGAUAGCGGACCGAUACUGAUGUUGUUGUGUGUGGUAAAGCGAAUGAUUAGCGUAUUUGGGGGGAUUUAUCUCUUCGGACGAUUCUCAAACUUUAAAUGCGCAUGGAUGUUGCUGCUUCGGUGAGCGACUGUCGUGAAAAACAUCGGUUCCGUGGGCCAUUUUUGGUAAGCAGAACUGGCGAUAUGGGAUGAACCAUAAGUAUAGUUAAGGCGCCAAAUUGCCCGCUUAUAGAUCCCAAAAAAGGUGUUGAUUCAUUAAGACAGCAGGACGGUGGCCAUGGAAGUCGGAAUCCGCUAAGGAGUGUGUAACAACUCACCUGCCGAAUGAAUUAGCCCUGAAAAUGGAUGGCGCUGAAGCGGGUAGCCGACACUAUGCCGUCUAAUUUAGGACAACAAUUAGAUGAGUAGGAGGACGUGGCGGUUGUAUAGAAGCGUGGGCGCGAGCUUGCGUGGAACGGCCGCUAGUGCAGAUCUUGGUGGUAGUAGCAAAUAUUCAAAUGAGAUCCUUGAAGGGUGAAGCGGGGAAGGGUUCCACGCGAACAUUGAUUGAGCGUGGGUGAGUCGUUCCUGAGCCGUCUGGUAAUUGCUAGGCACCGUGCGAAAGGGAAGCAGGUUGAUAUUCCUGCACACGAACGUAGAUGCGGCGACGCGCGCUGUGGCGGUGACGUUGUCGGGAUGCACUGGGCAGAGAUUUCUUUUCUGUUUGACAGCUCCAAACGCACUCUGUGGAAUCCGCUUGUCGGGAGAAACAGGUGAAGUUUUGGCAGAGCGCCGGGUAUUAUCUGGCGUCCAGUUUGCGACCGGCGACCCUUGAAAAACCGUCCGCGGAAAACUUCUACUUCGUAACGUACCCAUAACCGCAUCAGGUCCCCAAGGUGAACAGCCUCUGUCCGAUAUGAAAAAUGCAGGUAAGGGAAGUCGGCAAAUUAGACCCGUAACUUUGGGAAAAGGGUUGGCUCUAGUGCUGUGUAGGAUUUGUUGCUGAUGGUAGUGCAUGUGAGUUCUUGUAUGCUGUCGUUCUGGAUGCGGAGUGCAAACUCUGUGGCUGGGCGCGGAAACACCUUGCGGCCUCUGUUGGUGAUGCCUACAGCAUGCAGCAAACUAGAACUGCAACGGUCAAAGGGAAUCCGACUGUUUAAUUAAAACAAAGCAUUGCGACGGCCGUGGCCGGUGAUGACGCAAUGUGAUUUCUGCUCAGUGCUCUGAAUGUCAAAGUGAAGAGAUUCAAAUAAGCGCGGGUAAACAGCGGGAGUAACUAUGACUCUCUUAAGGUAGCCAAAUGCCUCGUCAUCUAAUUAGUGACGCGCAUGAAUGGAUUAACGAGAUUCCUACUGUCCCUAUCUGCUUCUAGCGAAACCACAGCCGGGGGAACGGGCCCGGAAAAAUCGGCGGGGAAAGAAGACCCUGUUGAGCUUGACUCUAUUCUAUUGUUGUGAAGUGGGUUGGAAGGUGUAGUAUAGGGGGGAGAGGCUUGCCUCGCCCAUGAAAUACCCCCACUUUCAAUCCCGCUUUACUUACCAGGUAGGUGUGGGAUUCAUGGCCGUACUGCGGUUAUUUAGUUUUAGAUGCAAUGCUUUAACCCCUUGUGGGUGGGCAGAUCACAGCCUGAGACAGCUAUAGGAGGGGAGUUUGGCUGGGGCGGCACAUCUUCUACAGGACAACGAAGGUGUCCCAAGAUGAGCUCAGUGAGAACAGAAAUCUCACGUAGCGCAAAAGGGUAAAAGCUUAUUUGAUUUUGAUUUUCAGUGCGAGUUAAAAACGUGAAGGCGUGGCCUAUCGAUCCUUUUAAAAUUCGAGAUCUGAAGUAAGAGGUGUCAGAAAAGUUACCACAGGGAUAACUGGCUUGUGGCGGCCAAGCGUUCAUAGCGACGUCGCUUUUUGAUCCU